UACGAAGGGUGCAACCGUUGCUCGGAAUUAUUGGGCGUAAAGCGCACGUAGGCGGCUUGGCAAGUCGGAUGUGAAAUCCCUCGGCUCAACCAAGGAAGUGCAUCCGAAACUGCUGAGCUUGAGUACUUAAGAGGAUCGCGGAAUUCCCGGUGUAGAGGUGAAAUUCGUAGAUAUCGGGAGGAACACCGGUGGCGAAGGCGGAUCUCUGGGCCAUUACUGACGCUGAGGAGCGAAAGCGUGGGGAGCGAACAGG
rnacentral:rRNA from 1 species